AUGGGAGACACCUUAGUUCAUUCUUCUAAUAAGCCUGUUGAUCUGAUCCUCCCUGUUGCCAGCAUCUCCACCUUCUACAAAAUGCGUGGUCUUUUUCUUCAUUCUUCUAAUAAGCCUGUUGAUCUGAUCCUCCCUGUUGCCAGCAUCUCCACCUUCUACAAAAUGGGUGGUCUUUUUCUUCAUUUCACCUCCUGGAGAAGAUCAUUUAAAGGGCCACGGGAAGUUAUUUGCUUCUUUGAAGCUUUUUCCAACAGUAUAGAUCUCAUGAAUCAGAUCCUCCAUGCAGACGAUGACAUAUUUUCCAAGAGAUCGAGCAAUCAGAGCGUUAUCUGUCAAAGCAAUUCACUUCUUUUUGAUUUUGCCAUAACCACGUUUGUAGAUUAGUUCAUUUACUGACUUCAGAUUUGGGUACCCCCAUGCAAUAUAUGGCUCUACGAUCCUCAGCAUGUUAAUUGAAGCCUUGUUGAGCUUCACAGAGGUUCCAUUGAAGAUUCGAGGAAGGCAGAGAAGCUGCAACACCUUUCAGACCUUUGGGCUCACACCAUUGAUACCUCUGAUCCUGAUGACAAAUGCCAGUUUGGGUUCUGCAGGUACACGGAAGUUGCCAGCUUUCCUUGCCAUCCUUGCCAUUCGAAUUUCAGUUCUGUACAUCCGCCUAUAUUCCUUGUGAUAAUGCUUCGCUUUUUCAUAGAUAAGCUUCCUCCUUGCCUUUCGAAGCAUCUUUUGGGCAAACUUCUUUCUCAGGUGCUUGAUCUUCAGCUCUAUGAAAUUCCUUCGCUUUUUUCUUAAGGGUUUCUGGCACAGCAGGAACCUUCUUCUUCUUUUCUUCUACACCCUCCAUGGUUCCAGCCGGAAAAAGAGGACGUCCAUAUCCAUCUCUUAAAACUGCUUGCUAGUGGCACAAGUCGCUACAAGUGUACCUAAUAAUGUAGCACCAGACACCAUAACCCACACUUUACAGUUGAACAAUGUAUUGCAGAUCAAUAGCUUAUGUUAUUUUAGUAUACAUUCUUGGCAAUGGAUCUGCCUUUUCUUUCCCUUUAAAAUUGCACUUGUAACUGCUGCUAACUGGAGUGCAUAUUCAUGGCAACUUGAAUCUGUGCUCCCAGGUUGCCAUCUUCCAAAUAAACUCUCUACUUAUAUUAAUUUUGUCUCAGCUUCUUCCUUUCCAUCAACAGAACAAAACUGGAAUUC
rnacentral:lncRNA from 1 species